rnacentral:rRNA from 1 species
UACGGAGGGUGCAAGCGUUAAUCGGAAUCACUGGGCGUAAAGCGCGCGUAGGCGGCUUGGUAAGUCAGGCGUGAAAGCCCUCGGCUCAACCGAGGAAUUGCGUUUGAUACUGCCAGGCUUGAGUACCGGAGGGGGUGGCGGAAUUCCGGGUGUAGGAGUGAAAUCCGUAGAUAUCCGGAGGAACACCGGUGGCGAAGGCGGCCACCUGGACGGUAACUGACGCUGAGGCGCGAAAGCGUGGGUAG